rnacentral:lncRNA from 1 species
UUAUAUUUAACAACAAGGGGAAGUGUGUUCUACUAACAGAAUGUGUGAAACACUGAAUAUGAUGAAAAUGUUCCACAGCGUGCAGCUCUUAAUGGUUAUUACUCUUCUGGGUGUCGGUCAUGUGCAUUGUCAGAUUAGAUACGUUGAGACUGGGACAAGCUACACUUUUAAUCCCACUGUAACCGCAGCUUUUGAAAGUGUUCUUUGGAAAUUCAAUAAUGAAAAAGUGGUUGAGUAUGAAGAUGGCAUAGUGAGAUGGUUUCAGUUUAACGGACUUUUUGAUAAAGAAACUGGAGACCUCACACUUAAUGGGCUGAAGAAAACUCAGAGUGGUUGGUAUGAGUCUGAAAUCCUGGUGAGUGGGAAACUUCAGACUAAAAAGUAUGAAAUUCAAGUGAUUGAUGCUGUUCCACAGCCACAAUCACCUGGAAAGACACUUCCGAUCACUGCCGUAACAGAUCAUACCACAAUGUAUAACUGCACCACAAAGAAUCCAGUGAGUGAAAAGCAUAGUGAGAUCUUUUUGAAGGACUGUUACCCAGAUCAAGGUACCUCUGCCAUUGUCGUAGCUCUUGCAGUUUCCUUCACUGCUAUUCUAAUCACUCUUCUAGCUCUGAUCUACUACAGCUGCUGGAGAGGGCACAAAGACAUGGACAUGACUUUUACCAUAGUUGAAUAUGCUGAAGAUUAAAGUUUGUGAACAACAUACUAGAAAUCACUUCUACAUAAAAAUGGAAAUGUACAUUCCGAUUACUUUCACUGAGAUUUUAACAUUCUAUAAAAUGCUCUUCAUGUUGAUGAUGGUUUUGCUCUUUAUAUAUAUUAGAGCCUUUGCAGUUACCGUUGCAGUUGCAGCACCACAAUGACCUUUUUCACUUUUCAGAACUCUGCUUUUUUAUCUGCUUAAUGUUUCGUGUUAUUAUUAGUUUUUUAUGCGCUUAGCUUUUAUUCAUUUUCUCUUGGAUUGUAAUUGUACAGCACUUUGGUUUUAAAUGUGCUUUAUCAGUAAAUUUUACUUUUACUUUUACUAUCAUGAAUGAUACAAAACAUGCAUUGUUUGAAUACAACCAGUAUAAUAAAUGUUUAUUUGCUGAAUUUAACCUAUUCA